rnacentral:rRNA from 1 species
UACGAAGGGGGCUAGCGUUGCUCGGAAUCACUGGGCGUAAAGGGUGCGUAGGCGGGUCUUUAAGUCAGGGGUGAAAUCCUGGAGCUCAACUCCAGAACUGCCUUUGAUACUGAGGAUCUUGAGUACGGGAGAGGUGAGUGGAACUGCGAGUGUAGAGGUGAAAUUCGUAGAUAUUCGCAAGAACACCAGUGGCAAAGGCGGCUCACUGGCCCGUAACUGACGCUGAGGCACGAAAGCGUGGGGAGCAAACAGG